GAUGAACGCUGGCGGCGUGCUUAACACAUGCAAGUCGAACGGUGAAGCAGAGCUUGCUCUGUGGAUCAGUGGCGAACGGGUGAGUAACACGUGAGCAACCUGCCCUGGACUCUGGGAUAAGCGCUGGAAACGGCGUCUAAUACUGGAUACGAGACGUGGCCGCAUGGUCAACGUUUGGAAAGAUUUUUUGGUUCAGGAUGGGCUCGCGGCCUAUCAGCUUGUUGGUGAGGUAAUGGCUCACCAAGGCGUCGACGGGUAGCCGGCCUGAGAGGGUGACCGGCCACACUGGGACUGAGACACGGCACGGACUCCUACGGGAGGCAGCAGUGGGGAAUAUUGCACAAGGGGCGAAAGCCUGAUGCAGCAGCGCCGCGUGAGGGAUGACGGCCUUCGGGUUGUAAACCUCUUUUAGCAAGGAAGAAGCGAAAGUGACGGUACUUGCAGAAAAAGCGCCGGCUAACUACGUGCCAGCCGCCGCCGUAA
rnacentral:rRNA from 1 species